UACGUAGGGUGCUAGCGUUGUCCGGAUUUAUUGGGCGUAAAGGGCUCGUAGGCGGUCUGUCGCGUCGGGAGUGAAAACUCAGGGCUUAACCCUGAGCCUGCUUCCGAUACGGGCAGACUAGAGGUAUGCAGGGGAGAACGGAAUUCCUGGUGUAGCGGUGGAAUGCGCAGAUAUCAGGAGGAACACCGGUGGCGAAGGCGGUUCUCUGGGCAUUACCUGACGCUGAGGAGCGAAAGUGUGGGGAGCGAACAGG
rnacentral:rRNA from 1 species